ensembl:snoRNA small nucleolar RNA, H/ACA box 2C
GUGGCCCUGACUGAAGACCAGCAGUUAUGCUAUAGCUGUUGGUUUCGAGCAGAGGCCCAAAGGACUGUCUUCCCAUGAUCUGUUGGCUGUUCUGGAACCUCAGCAGAGAGUGGCUAUUUCAUUUGGAAGAAACAUCC